rnacentral:rRNA from 1 species
UACGAAGGUGGCGACUGUUGUUCGGAUUCACUGGGCGUAAAGCGUCGGUAGGUGGUGUUUUAAGUUAGAGGUGAAAGCCCCGCGCUCAACGUGGGAAUUGCCUUUAAAACUGGAGCACUUGAGAGUAUCAGAGGAUGGCGGAAUAUCUGGUGUAGAGGUAAAAUUCAUAGAUAUCAGAUGGAACACCCAUGGCGAAGGCAGCUAUCUGGGAUAUUUCUGACACUGAGCGACGACAGCGUGGGGAGCAAACAGG